rnacentral:tRNA from 1 species
GCGCUGGUUGCGCAAAGCGCAGGAUCACUGCACGGAAAUCAGAAGGUGCGGGUUCGAGUCCCGCCCAGCGCG